CCGAGUUCAUAAGAUUUAUUCACCGCUACAAACUUGUUUCGUAUGACAAGCAAAUAUAGCUUGGUUUCGAUCUUGAUGGUACGUAGAUGACAGAUCGAGUAUAGCCUGCGUAUCAGACUAUGAAUCUAUCGAAUCUAUAAAAUAUAUUGUCUUGUGCAACAUUUCCGGCAAUCCAGUAUUUGACAUGGAUGCAUGAGAUCUAGAAGAACAAAACUUUUUUGGUAACUAACCC